rnacentral:rRNA from 1 species
UACGUAGGCGGCAAGCGUUGUCCGGAAUUAUUGGGCGUAAAGGGAGCGUAGACGGCAUGGCAAGCCAGAUGUGAAAGCCCGGGGCUCAACCCCGUGAUGGGGUCCGAACUGGUUUUCUUGAGUGCAGGAGAGGAAAGCGGAAUUCCCAGUGUAGCGGUGAAAUGCGUAGAUAUUGGGAAGAACACCAGUGGCGAAGGCGGCUUUCUGGACUGUAACUGACGCUGAGGCUCGAAAGCUAGGGUAGCGAACGGG